rnacentral:rRNA from 1 species
UCGGGAAUUUUGCGCAAUGGACGAAAGUCUGACGCAGCAACGCCGCGUGAGGGAUGAAGGCCUUCGGGUUGUAAACCUCUUUUAUCAGGGAAGAUAAUGACGGUACCUGAUGAAUAAGUCACGGCUAACUACGUGCCAGCAGCCGCGGUAAUACGUAGGUGACAAGCGUUGUCCGGAUUUACUGGGCGUAAAGAGCGCGCAGGCGGUCGUUCAAGUCGAGUGUGAAAGCCCCCGGCUCAACUGGGGAGGGUCAUUCGAUACUGAUCGACUCGAAGGCAGGAGAGGGAAGUGGAAUUCCCGGUGUAGUGGUGAAAUGCGUAGAUAUCGGGAGGAACACCAGUGGCGAAGGCGACUUCCUGGCCUGUUCUUGACGCUGAGGCGCGAAAGCUAGGGGAGCAAACGGGAUUAGAUACCCCGGUAGUCCUAGCCGUAAACGAUGGACACUAGGUGUUGGUGGUAUCAACCCCGCAGUGCCGAAGCUAACGCAUUAAGUGUCCCGC